rnacentral:lncRNA from 1 species
CCAAACUUGAUCAGCAUCGCAUCAACUCUUGAAUGCAACGAAUCCCUCUGGAACCUAAACUACCCUUUUCCCUUAUUAAUUUUAUAACAAUAACUUUACAACCCAUAAAAUUAAUGAGACACGCAGGUCUCCAAAUUACAUAAUUUAAUUAGCACGCGCAGACACAAAUAUAUAUAUAUAUAUAUAUAUAUAUAUAUAUAAAAUCUAAUACUGGAUCCUUAUUAAAUUAUAAAAAUUCACAUCAUCACAUAAUACAUGCACAUCACAAGGUCGCUAUCCAUGAUCAUCACCUCAUACACAUCACAUGCAUAUAAUAACAAAUUCUCUAAUUCGAAUUCUAAUUAAUUGGGUUUCGGAUUAAUUUAAAAAUAAAUCUUUAUUUAUUUCAAGAAUCGCAAUUUUCGUAAAAUUAUUAAAAGGUCUAAUACAUCUUAUGUAUUAAAUUUUAAAAUUUAAAACUA